CCUACGGUAGGCAGCAGUGGGGAAUAUUGGGCAAGGGGCGCAAGCCUGACCCAGCAACGCCGCGUGAAGGAAGAAGGCUUUCGGGUUGUAAACUUCUUUUCUCAGGGACGAAGCAAGUGACGGUACCUGAGGAAUAAGCAACGGCUAACGACGGGCCAGCAGCCGCGGUAAUACGUAGGGGGCAAGCGUUAUCCGGAUUUACGGGGUGUAAAGGGCGUGUAGGCGGGACUGCAAGUCCGAUGGGAAAACCCUGGGCUCAACCUAUGGCCGGCAUUUGAAACUGUAGUUCUUGAGUACUGGAGCGGCCGCCGUACUUCCUCGUGUAGCCGUGACAUGCGUAGAUCUUAGGUGGAACCCCAGUGGCGACGGCGGUCUGCUGGACCGCACCUGCCGCUGAGGCGCGACCGCGUGGGGAGCAAACCGGAUUAGCUACCCUUGUAGUC
rnacentral:rRNA from 1 species